ensembl:lncRNA
AUGGAGAGAGUAGCCAGACUAUCAGGGGAGUCCUUUCAAGGAAUCCAGCACACCCCUCCUCCUCCUGACAAGGUGAGCUCCCCAUCCAUCUCACAUGUCCAGUGCUGCCACACAGCUAAUAAAGAUUCCUGUAGCUCUCUGCUGCCAAGAUGUCCAGUAACACACUGUCCUGUUUGUGCAUGGAGUCCAGGUCCCUUUUGCAAGCCCUUGAUACCCUCAACCAAAAGGAAUUUCACUGGUUCAUCACCAGAGGCUUCCCGUGUCCUGAGGGGCGCUCGUGUGUUGGCAAGGAGAGAAACUGAUGGCUUUUACUACCUGGGCCGCAUUGUCCAGGAGCUGAAGGGCACCAGGGAAGGCUUUUUAAUUGAGUUUGACCAAAGCUGUGCUCUGAAGGGCAAGGUCCAGUGUGGCUGGCAGGAAACCCCUCUCUAUGACAUUCUGCACUACGAGGACGCCCGGCGACACCCUCUUGCUCCAGGGGACAGAGUCUUGGCACCAUGGGAGGCUCCAGCCAAACGUUUUGGCCCUGGCACUGUGCUAAGGAUUGUGGAGAACACAGAGGCACCUCUAGUAUGCACUGCACACAAUGAAAGGGGAGUACUUGUGAAUUUCUGGAAUGGGCAGACUAAGGAAGUGUCUUCUGUCCAAGCUCUGCGGAUUCCCCUACCCCUAAGCGAACGCAUCAUCCUGGAGCUGCAGAUGCCUUUGGCAGCCCGGCAGAUGGUGGUAGAUUCAAGCUUGGAUUACCCAUACCUUGUGGCACCAGGUUAUAGAGCCUCAGGGCACUACAGGCAGAGUCACCUGGAGCUGGAUUGCUGCCCAGGGGCUCUGUAUUCCACUCAUCCCUGUGCAAAGUGCAGGUGUGGGUGGACCUCACUUCCCCAGUGCUGCCUUGGAGCCUGGGAACCCACACGGCCUGCAGAGUGCAAAGUGCAGAGGGAAAAUGCCUUCACCCCAGGGCCAAGCUUGUCUGAAGAAAAGCUCAGCCAGAAAAUCGAACAGGAGCUGUCUGAAUUGAGGAUUGCAUCUUCAGAAAGUGUUUCCAGAGAGGAAGAGAAAAAGGAAGAGAAGCGAUUGGAGACAGAAAACUUUCCAAAGGGUCAUGAGGCUACAGAAACCGAGAAGGGCCCUCAGAAGGAGAUGGCUCAUGCUGUGGUCGAUGCUGCUGUCAACACAGACAGCUGGUUAAUGGAAACAGAUCACAAGGAAGAAGCAGAGAACAGACAGCAGGAUGCUGAAACUGAAGCUAAUUUUGAACAUGAGCAUGGCCUUUUUGAGUCCAGAGUGGCAGAAGCUGCAGUCCAGCAUUCCCAGAGGAGCCCUCCCCUGGGAAGCAGUGCUUUGGUUCCUUUCAGGCACCAGAGCUUCUUUGCCCAAGUGAAUCAGUCCCUGGAGAAAGACAGCCUGACCAUCAGAUCAGCCCUUCGUGUGCAGAGACCACACAGCAGCACCAGCCUGCUGGCUGGGAGAUCCACACAUCUCCCACAUCUUCUAAAAGACAAAAGCCCCACAAAAUUGGUCCUUAGUGGUGCAUCUCAGGAGAGGUGGAAAGAGCUGGACUUCAACAGAGCCAAGAUUGAGCACAAAAGGUGGCAAGAGGAGCAGAGGCAGCUGAAGAGGGAGCAGCAGCAGGAGGCAGAUGGCACCCGACGCCGGCUGCGCAGGGACAGCCAGAGGCAGCGAUUGCAUCAGAGAACAUUGCAAGGGCUGGAGAAACAGCUGGAGCACAAAGAGAGAGCUUUGCAGCACAUGGCACUGCUCCAGGCUGCUGGGGCUGAGAGGAGCAGGAAGGAAUCCUUUCCAGAGGAGGAGGAGGAGAGGAAGGCAAGGCAGAGGCUUCAGUUCUUAAAGACACAACGUUUGCAGAGAGAGGAGAUGCAGGCAGAAAGCAACAAAAGGAACUGUGAACAAGAGAAAGAAAGGCUGGAGUUCCUGAGGAGCAGGAUGCAGUCACGGCAGGAAGUGCUGGAACAAGAAUCCCAAGAGCAGGACAAACAGAAAAAGCAGCUCCAGGCUGCCAAAGUGAGAGUGUUCCAGAGGAGAGAGAGUUCUUAUUUAAAGAUGGAAAAAGAAGGCCAGAAGCUCCGUGCCCUCCAGCAGUACCUCAGGGAACAGAAGCUGCUGCUGCUCCGGACAUCCCUGCUCGCGUAA